rnacentral:lncRNA from 1 species
UAUAAAUAGGUGUGUUUAGUUCCAUUUGUAAUCAUCCAGAAUCAAGAAAAAUAAUAGAGAGAAAACAUUUCAGCAAGAGUUCUAAAAGUCUCCAAGAAAUCUCCAAACACAAGCUUUAGUAGAAAAAUCCAUUUCCUAAAAUACGAAGGUUAUCUCAAACAAAAACCGUCUACAUUCCAUCUUAACCUCUCGAAGAAAAUAUUAUCCGCUAAUUUUUCCCAACAACUGGUAUCAGAGC